GUGAAUAGUGAGUUAGAAUCUUUUACAUCGCUGCUAGGAGAAAAAGGAAGAAGGUGGUAAAUACGCAUUUGAAACAGAAGUUCCAAUGUGACUGAAAACUAGAGUAGAAACAUCAGUUAUAUAAAAACAAUUUUAAAUUCCACUUUUGUAUAGUUCUUUAUUCUCUAGAAUAGCUGUUCUGUUCUAUGCUUUUUUGCUUUCCACAGCUUGGAUGCUAAAUCUACAAGUAUCCAGGUAGUAGUUAAAGAAGACAGUAUGAAGGUCAUCCAGGUCCAAGAUAACAGCUGUGGUAUCAGAAAAGAAGAUGUCAACAUUGUAUGUGAGAGAUUUACUACGAGUAAACUACAAUAAUUUGAAGACUUGUCUAGUAUUUCUACAUAUGGUUUCAGGGGUGAGGCAUUGGCUAGCAUCAGUCAUAUUGCCCAUGUUACAGUAACAACUAAAACAGCUGAUGCAAAGUGUGU